UUAUGGCCAUAUCAAGUUGAAACACUGAUUCCUGUACAAUCAUCGAAGUUAAGCAAUAUCGAGCUGGAUCAGUACCCAGAUGGGUGACUGCUUGGGAAUACCAGGUGGUGUAAU